rnacentral:lncRNA from 1 species
AGAAGGGUUGUUUUUGUGCACCUCAUGAGAUUAGUUUUUUGGCAUGAGAAAUAUUAGAGAGUGGGCAUACAAAAUCAGAGAGGGGUUAGGCUUUUGUGUGUGAGAAAUUAAGGAAGAAAUCUUCUUCUUGGGCGUGCGAUCUAGGGUGGGUUCUAGGGUUUCGACUCUAGCCUUUUGUGUGAGAUAAAAAAUACAAGAGAGUCUUGUUUCAAUCUCCUUCACCACCACCUCCUCAUAAAGAUUUAUUUUCUGAUCUAGAAGAGUCUGGGUGAUCCAAAGAAAAGAGUGUCAAUCAGCCAUCUAGAGCCUUCGAUGUGAGCUAGCACUCUCAAGAAGGACGAUUCGAUCAGAACUUCGAGUGGAUGACCUAUAGAGGUCGAA